CACGUAGGGCGCAAGCGUUGUCCGGAAUUAUUGGGCGUAAAGAGCUCGUAGGUGGUUUGUUACGUCUGCUGUGAAAACCUAGGGCUUAACCCUGGCUUGCAGUGGAUACGGGCAGACUAGAGGUAGGUAGGGGAGAAUGGAAUUCCUGGUGUAGCGGUGAAAUGCGUAGAUAUUGGGAGGAACACCAGUGGCGAAGGCGGCUCACUGGACCGGUACUGACGCUGAUGCGCGAAAGCGUGGGGAGCAAACGGG
rnacentral:rRNA from 1 species